UUCGGUGGUGCUAGCGAGAGGGCCACACCCGUUCCCUUUCCGAACACGGAAGUUAAGCCUCUCAGCGCCGAUGGUACUUGGAUCGAGAGACCCUGGGAGAGUAGGUCGCCGCCGGAU
rnacentral:rRNA from 3 species